rnacentral:ribozyme from 1 species
GCUGCUUUUACUUCUUUUGUCAUUUAAUAUCAACCUAUAUUUCAUCAUGAAACUUGCUAUCCUUACCAUUAUUGCCGGUUCUGCCGCCGCAUUCGCCCCUUCGGCCGUCAAGCGUGCU